rnacentral:tRNA from 2 species
GUAGCGAUUAGAAUAACGGGAGUUCGCUGGGAUUGUAUCCCAGAAGUGUUGGUUCGAGUCCAACUCGUGACA